rnacentral:rRNA from 1 species
AAUCCAUAGGUUAAUGAGGCGAACCGGGGGAACUGAAACAUCUAAGUACCCCGAGGAAAAGAAAUCAACCGAGAUUCCCCCAGUAGCGGCGAGCGAACGGGGAGGAGCCCAGAGCCUGAAUCAGCAUGUGUGUUAGUGGAAGCGUCUGGAAAGGCGCGCGAUACAGGGUGACAGCCCCGUACACAAAAGCGCAUGUGCUGUGAGCUCGAUGAGUAGGGCGGGACACGUGGUAUCCUGUCUGAAUAUGGGGGGACCAUCCUCCAAGGCUAAAUACUCCUGACUGACCGAUAGUGAACCAGUACCGUGAGGGAAAGGCGAAAAGAACCCCGGCGAGGGGAGUGAAAAAGAACCUGAAACCGUGUACGUACAAGCAGUGGGAGCACCCUUUGGGUGUGACUGCGUACCUUUUGUAUAAUGGGUCAGCGACUUAUAUUCUGUAGCAAGGUUAACCGAAUAGGGGAGCCGGAGGGAAACCGAGUCUUAACCGGGCGUUAAGUUGCAGGGUAUAGACCCGAAACCCGGUGAUCUAGCCAUGGGCAGGUU